UNUGAAGUUAAAGGCUGUGGCUUAACCAUAGUACGCUUUGGAAACUGUUUAACUUGAGUGCAGAAGGGGAGAGUGGAAUUCCAUGUGUAGCGGUGAAAUGCGUAGAUAUAUGGAGGAACACCGGUGGCGAAAGCGGCUCUCUGGUCUGUAACUGACGCUGAGGCUCGAAAGCGUGGGGAGCGAACAGGAUUAGAUACCCUGGUAGUCCACGCCGUAAACGAUGAGUGCUAGGUGUUAGGCCCUUUCCGGGGCUUAGUGCCGCAGCUAACGCAUUAAGCACUCCGCCUGGGGAGUACGACCGCAAGGUUGAAACUCAAAGGAAUUGACGGGGGCCCGCACAAGCGGUGGAGCAUGUGGUUUAAUUCGAAGCAACGCGAAGAACCUUACCAGGUCUUGACAUCCCGAUGCCCGCUCUAGAGAUAGAGUUUUACUUCGGUACAUCGGUGACAGGUGGUGCAUGGUUGUCGUCAGCUCGUGUCGUGAGAUGUUGGGUUAAGUCCCGCAACGAGCGCAACCCUUAUUGUUAGCUGCCAUCAUUCAGUUGGGCACUCUAGCGAGACUGCCGGUAAUAAACCGGAGGAAGGUGGGGAUGACGUCAAAUCAUCAUGCCCCUUAUGACCUGGGCUACACACGUGCUACAAUGGCUGGUACAACGAGUCGCAAGUCGGUGACGGCAAGCUAAUCUCUUAAAGCCAGUCUCAGUUCGGAUUGUAGGCUGCAACUCGCCUACAUGAAGUCGGAAUCGCUAGUAAUCGCGGAUCAGCACGCCGCGGUGAAUACGUUCCCGGGCCUUGUACACACCGCCCGUCACACCACGAGAGUUUGUAACACCCGAAGUCGGUGAGGUAACCUUUUAGGA
rnacentral:rRNA from 1 species